AAUAUGUACAAUUAUUAUGUGUCAAUUAUAAAUAAAAUUUUUUUAAAAAGAAUUGGCCCGUGGGUUUUCUCCAUUACAGAUUUAUUGCCAAACCCUGUGCACUCCGUAUUGGCAUCGAGGACAGUGGUCCUUAUCAGGCCCAACCCAAUGCCAUCCUUGAAAAGGUGUUCAUAUCUAUUACCAAGGUAAGUGGGCAAAGAAACAGAGAGGAAUAUUCACAUAAGGCGUUGCUCCAUGGGGCAGGGGAGGAUAGAGAGCACGUACCUCUAAGGGUAAGGAUAGGAUGGGAUGAUCUUUCAUAUUUGAGUAGUCCAUGUAGCUAUAUGGAGAGCUUUAUCCCCUCAGGGAAAACCUUUGGGCCCUACGUAUGUCAAGUUUACAUACAUAGUAUGUUUGAGUUUUAGGCCCAGCAGCCACCCUUACCCCUCUUUCCCCAGACACAUACCAUAUCUGGUUUUUGUUUUUCCUUGUUCCAGUUUCUGUCACUGCCUAGUUGUGUAAUUGAGAUGGAGACAGUACUGAUAGCCUUUGCAGUUUGGGUUUUUUGUUUUUUGGAGAGACAAGGUUUUGCCAUGUUGCCCAGGCUGGUCUCGGACUCCUGGGCUCAAGCCAUCCUUCGGCCCUCAGCCUUCAAAAAUCCCAGGAUUACAGGCAUGAGCCACCAUGCCUGGCCUGCAAUUUGGGUUUUUAAUAUCCUUUUUUACUCAGCUUGGGCUGGAGGAAGAGACAAAGCAAGGAUAUGUAUAGGUGAGCAGUACAGGUCCUUGAUAUGUAAGAUAAAAUUUCUUACUAAAAAUGACUUUGGGAUAAAACUUGGAAAGAUAAACAUCACUUGAGCCACUUAUGGCUAUCAUACCUUGUCCCUCAGCUAGUCAAUGGGAUUGAAGGAGGGGUAUGAGGAGACGGGUGUUCUGACUCUGGUUAUACAUUCACAGUAUCCUGAUAAGAAAAGGCUGGAGGGCCUGUCAAAGCAGCUGGAUUGGAAUGUCCGAAAAAUCCAAUGCUGGUUUCGCCAUCGGAGGAAUCAGGACAAGCCCCCAACGCUUACUAAAUUCUGUGAAAGCAUGUGGAGAUUCACAUUUUAUUUAUGUAUAUUCUACUAUGGAAUUAGAUUUCUCUGGUCGUCACCUUGGUUCUGGGACAUCCGACAGUGCUGGCAUAACUAUCCAUUUCAGCCUCUUUCAAGUGGGCUUUAUUACUAUUAUAUCAUGGAAUUGGCCUUCUAUUGGUCCCUUAUGUUUUCUCAGUUUACAGACAUUAAAAGAAAGGACUUCCUGAUCAUGUUUGUGCAUCACUUGGUCACCAUUGGGCUUAUCUCCUUCUCCUACAUCAACAAUAUGGUUCGAGUGGGAACUCUGAUCAUGUGUCUACAUGAUGUCUCAGACUUCUUGCUGGAGGCAGCCAAACUGGCCAAUUAUGCCAAGUAUCAGCGGCUCUGUGACACCCUUUUUGUGAUCUUCAGUGCUGUUUUUAUGGUUACACGACUAGGAAUCUAUCCAUUCUGGAUUCUGAACACGACCCUCUUUGAGAGCUGGGAGAUAAUCGGGCCUUAUGCUUCAUGGUGGCUCCUCAAUGGCCUGCUGCUGACCCUACAGGUUCUGCAUGUCAUCUGGUCCUACCUAAUUGCACGGAUUGCUUUGAAAGCCUUGAUCAGGGGAAAGGUGAGGAUGAAAGAUGGCUUCUUUCUUUUGGGUAUGGAAGAUAGGGAUUACUCAACAGACGUUCUCUCUCCAUCAAACCUGGUGAGCCCCAUCUACUCAAGCAGGCCAAGCAAAAAGCCUAGGGCUCCAAAGUCUUCACCUCUUCGGUAUCGAAGGAUGACCGCAGUGAUGUGGAGAGCAGCUCAGAGGAAGAAGAUGUGACCACCUGCACAAAAAGUCCCUGUGACAGUAGCUCCAGCAAUGGUGCCAAUCGGGUGAAUGGUCACAUGGGAGGCAGCUACUGGGCUGAAGAGUAAGGUGGUUGCUAUGGGGACUUCAGCACACAUGGACUUGUAGGGCCACUGGCAACAUACUCCUCUUGGCCCUUCCCAUAUCUACUCUUCUGUGAUUGGGAGACUGCAAGGCACUGAGGAGUAUCAAAGAAGCAAAUAUUUUCACUUUGAAAGAAAACUGCCAUUUUGUAUUUAAUAGUCUCCAGGUUCUUUCAGUAAUGUUAUUUGCUCUGUGUGUUUUUGUGUGUUUGUUGAUGUGCGUUUGUGCAUAUGCGUGAGUUUCAUUGCCGGGUUGGGGCACAAUUGUGGACUGGGGCCGUGAGGCCUUCCCUGGUCCCCACUGAACCCACCUUAGUUCCACAUUUGGCUGCAUCUUGAAUUAUGCCGACUCCAGACUGUCUCCUCCUUUUUUGCCCUUGGCUCUUGACACUCUAAACCCCUGGACCAUCUGAAUGGAGCAGUCAAGUGCAGUCCCAGAUUUCUGUACUGUUCCUCUUUCACAGCUGGAAUAUGUCACAUGAUGAAGUUGUAUAGAAACAGAACCAUGGAUGGAUGGCCAGGAUUGCCGUGGUCCCUAGCUAGAUCCCCUUCCUAUCAAUCACCUGAUAGCAACAGGGACAGCUGCCAAUACCCUGCUCUUUACUCAAUGGUACCCAGGGAGGGAGCAUGGGAAGAGGGUGAGCUGAGGGCUGGGGGAGGGCAACAGCCACUGGGUGAGCUGUUCACGGUCUUAUACUAUUGUUUGUGAUUAAAAGUGCUUCAACCC
rnacentral:sRNA from 1 species